rnacentral:rRNA from 1 species
CGUGGACCCGUAAUCCGGGUUGCGGACAGUGUCUGGUGGGUAGUUUGACUGGGGCGGUCUCCUCCUAAAGAGUAACGGAGGAGCACGAAGGUUGGCUAAUCCUGGUCGGACAUCAGGAGGUUAGUGCAAUGGCAUAAGCCAGCUUGACUGCGAGCGUGACGGCGCGAGCAGGUGCGAAAGCAGGUCAUAGUGAUCCGGUGGUUCUGAAUGGAAGGGCCAUCGCUCAACGGAUAAAAGGUACUCCGGGGAUAACAGGCUGAUACCGCCCAAGAGUUCAUAUCGACGGCGGUGUUUGGCACCUCGAUGUCGGCUCAUCACAUCCUGGGGCUGAAGUAGGUCCCAAGGGUAUGGCUGUUCGCCAUUUAAAGUGGUACGCGAGCUGGGUUUAGAACGUCGUGAGACAGUUCGGUCCCUAUCUGCCGUGGGCGCUGGAGAACUGAGGGGGGCUGCUCCUAGUACGAGAGGACCGGAGUGGACGCAUCACUGGUGUUCGGGUUGUCAUGCCAAUGGCACUGCCCGGUAGCUAAAUGCGGAAGAGAUAAGUGCUGAAAGCAUCUAAGCACGAAACUUGCCCCGAGAUGAGUUCUCCCUGAGACUUAGAGUCUCCUGAAGGAACGUUGAAGACGACGACGUUGAUAGGCCGGGUGUGUAAGCGCAGCGAUGCGUUGAGCUAACCGGUACUAAUGAACCGUGAGGCUUAACCUUACAACGCCGAAG